rnacentral:rRNA from 1 species
AACGAACGCUGGCGGCAUGCCUAACACAUGCAAGUCGAACGAAGCCUUCGGGCUUAGUGGCGCACGGGUGCGUAACGCGUGGGAAUCUGCCCUUUGGUUCGGAAUAACAGUUGGAAACGACUGCUAAUACCGGAUGAUGACGAAAGUCCAAAGAUUUAUCGCCAGAGGAUGAGCCCGCGUAGGAUUAGCUAGUUGGUGUGGUAAAGGCGCACCAAGGCGAUGAUCCUUAGCUGGUCUGAGAGGAUGAUCAGUCACACUGGGACUGAGACACGGCCCAGACUCUUACGGGAGGCAGCAGUGGGGAAUAUUGGACAAUGGGCGAAAGCCUGAUCCAGCAAUGCCGCGUGAGUGAUGAAGGCCCUAGGGUUGUAAAGCUCUUUUACCCGGGAUGAUAAUGACAGUACCGGGGGAAUAAGCCCCGGCUAACUCCGUGCCAGCCGCCGCUGUAACAC